rnacentral:rRNA from 1 species
CGAGCGGCAACCCUUGUCCUUAGUUACCAGCACGUUAUGGUGGGCACUCUAAGGAGACUGCCGGUGACAAGCCGGAGGAAGGUGGGGAUGACGGUCAAGUCAUCAUGGCCCUUAUGUCCAGGGCGACACACGUGCUACAAUGGCCGGCACAGCGGGAAGCGGAGGGGCGACCCUGAGCGGAUCCCUUGAAAGCCGGUCCCAGUUCGGAUUGCAGUCUGCAACUCGACUGCAUGAAGUUGGAAUCGCUAGUAAUCGCGGAUCAGCCAAGCCGCGGUGAAUACGUUCCCGGGCCUU